rnacentral:rRNA from 1 species
GAUGAACGCUGGCGGCGUGCCUAAUACAUGCAAGUCGAGCGAACGGACGAGAAGCUUGCUUUUCUGAUGUUAGCGGCGGACGGGUGAGUAACACGUGGGUAACCUACCUAUAAGACUGGGAUAACUUCGGGAAACCGGAGCUAAUACCGGAUAAUAUUUUGAACCGCAUGGUUCAUAAGUGAAAGACGGUCUUGCUGUCACUUAUAGAUGGAUCCGCGCUGCAUUAGCUAGUUGGUAAGGUAACGGCUUACCAAGGCAACGAUGCAUAGCCGACCUGAGAGGGUGAUCGGCCACACUGGAACUGAGACACGGUCCAGACUCCUACGGGAGGCAGCAGUAGGGAAUCUUCCGCAAUGGGCGAAAGCCUGACGGAGCAACGCCGCGUGAGUGAUGAAGGUCUUCGGAUCGUAAAACUCUGUUAUUAGGGAAGAACAUAUGUGUAAGUAACUGUGCACAUCUUGACGGUACCUAAUCAGAAAGCCACGGCUAACUACGUG